UCCCCUUUUCCCCCCAUUUUCCGCUUGGUCACCAUCAUCACGGAAGAAGAAAUGACCGAACUUCCUCCGAAAAUUGAUUUUUUUUCGGUGGCCAAAUUUAUUUUUGGCCCCGAGGGCUUUGGGGCUCAGGCGUUUCUCGCUCUCUUCCAGUCACAAACCCAACAGAGGAGGCGAAAAUGGGCCGGAAAAAAAUCCAGAUCAGCCGAAUUUUGGAUCAGCGGAACCGGCAGGUCACCUUCACCAAGCGGAAAUUCGGGCUGAUGAAGAAGGCGUACGAGCUGAGCGUGCUGUGCGACUGCGAGAUCGCUCUGAUCAUCUUCAACAGCACCAACCGCCUGUUCCAGUACGCCAGCACCGACAUGGACAAGGUGCUGCUCAAGUACACCGAGUACAGCGAGCCCCACGAGAGCCGCACCAACUCCGACAUCCUCGAGACGCUGAAGCGCAAAGGGUUGGGGCUGGAGAGCCACGAGCUGGAGCUGGAGGAGGGGCCGGAGCCGCCCGGGGACAGGGGGAGAAGGAGCGGGGAGGGAGUGGAUCUGUCGCUGGCGAGGCCGAGGUUUUAUAGCCCGGUGCCGCUGCCCGAGGCCGCCUAUGGCAGCUCCCCCCCGGGCACCGACACGUCCCUGGGCAGUGCCAGCAGCUCCCCCCAGGCCCAGGGCCGCUCUCCUGCCUUCAGACCCACAGCUGCAAAGCCACCAGGACGGUCCCCAGGGCCACUGCCCCCAGGUCUCAGCUACCCCCUGUUCCCCACCGCCAGCCUGAGCCGCGCUUUGGCCACCAAAACGCCACCACCGCUGUUCUUGGGGACCGAGGGUCGCCGUGGCGAGUCCCAGGGCGGAGUGGCGAGCGGCCGGAGCGGUGGCAGCGCCGAGCGGUGAGUCUGCCUGUCCCAAAGCCACGCGGGUGUCCCCAAAUCCCUGUUCCGGGAGGGGUCCCCCCGGGGGUUUUUGGGGUACAAAUUUUAUUGGGGUUCCCUCAUUUCGCAGCGGCCGCUGUACCCCGCCCUGCAGACCCUGAGCCCGGUGCUCAGCCCGGGCAGCUCCGCUCUCGCCGGGUUCCCGUUCCUCAGCCCGGCCCAGGCGGAUUUUGGGGCUGGCGAGGUCCCGCCGCCCCCCGGAUUCCUGCAGCCCCCGGCGUGGGGGAACCCCCGCGACAUGGCAGCGCUGGGUGCCAGCAGCCGGAUCGUCCCCUCGGAGGAGCCACCCGCUGUCCCCGGCGCGUUCCCCGCAGCACCAGGCCAUCAGCAUCAAAUCGGAGCGGGUGUCCCCAGGGCUGGGCUGUCCCCCGGGCACCCCCCAAACCCUCCCUGGCCACCUUGGCGGUCCCUCAGCGAAGCCCCCCGAGCUCCCGGAGACCUCCAGCCCCGCGAUGAUUUCUCCAAGGGUUUCCCUCCCUACGCGCUGGGGGCCACCGCGGCCGCUGGGGGACGAGCAGAGGGUCCCUGUCCCCAUGAGGAGGGGACAGCCCGUGACGUUUGGCAGAGAUAGCGAGGCCGGAGGGGUGCGGGGAGGGGGGGAAAUCCCUGCUUGGGGGAGCAGCCCCCCCGCUUUUUUCCCCAUUUUCAUCCCCUCGGGAAUCCCCCCCCCCAUCCCGGUGCGGUGACAGUGUCACUGUCCCCAACCCUGGGGCUGCAGCUCCUCCCUGGAGCCCCCCAAAUGUCGCCAAGUCCCCUCCUCCCACCCUCAGCGCUGUGGCCGUGUCCUGCCCGGUGGCUUGGGGACACUGUCCCCGCGCUUGUCCCCGCGCCACCAGCGUGUCCCCAAGGCAGCGGGAGUGGCUGGGAAGUGCCACGCGGUGGCAGCAGGACUGAGAGCACCGGCAGCGGCUCCAAACCUGCGGCCCCCGGCCCAGGGGGACAGGGGACAGCGGAGGGGACAGGGGACA